GUUCUUUGGUAGUUCAUAAGUGUGAUGACUGGGUUUUCACGCUCAUAUGUGAGAUGUGCCUCCCUCAAACCCUGUUACAAGUUGGCAUAUUGCCCAUCUGACA